GCAAGUCGAGCGGACAGAUGGGAGCUUGCUCCCUGAUGUUAGCGGCGGACGGGUGAGUAACACGUGGGUAACCUGCCUGUAAGACUGGGAUAACUCCGGGAAACCGGGGCUAAUACCGGAUGCUUGUUUGAACCGCAUGGUUCAAACAUAAAAGGUGGCUUCGGCUACCACUUACAGAUGGACCCGCGGCGCAUUAGCUAGUUGGUGAGGUAACGGCUCACCAAGGCAACGAUGCGUAGCCGACCUGAGAGGGUGAUCGGCCACACUGGGACUGAGACACGGCCCAGACUCCUACGGGAGGCAGCAGUAGGGAAUCUUCCGCAAUGGACGAAAGUCUGACGGAGCAACGCCGCGUGAGUGAUGAAGGUUUUCGGAUCGUAAAGCUCUGUUGUUAGGGAAGAACAAGUACCGUUCGAAUAGGGCGGUACCUUGACGGUACCUAACCAGAAAGCCACGGCUAACUACGUGCCAGCAGCCGCGGUAAUACGUAGGUGGCAAGCGUUGUCCGGAAUUAUUGGGCGUAAAGGGCUCGCAGGCGGUUUCUUAAGUCUGAUGUGAAAGCCCCCGGCUCAACCGGGGAGGGUCAUUGGAAACUGGGGAACUUGAGUGCAGAAGAGGAGAGUGGAAUUCCACGUGUAGCGGUGAAAUGCGUAGAGAUGUGGAGGAACACCAGUGGCGAAGGCGACUCUCUGGUCUGUAACUGACGCUGAGGAGCGAAAGCGUGGGGAGCGAACAGGAUUAGAUACCCUGGUAGUCCACGCCGUAAACGAUGAGUGCUAAGUGUUAGGGGGUUUCCGCCCCUUAGUGCUGCAGCUAACGCAUUAAGCACUCCGCCUGGGGAGUACGGUCGCAAGACUGAAACUCAAAGGAAUUGACGGGGGCCCGCACAAGCGGUGGAGCAUGUGGUUUAAUUCGAAGCAACGCGAAGAACCUUACCAGGUCUUGACAUCCUCUGACAAUCCUAGAGAUAGGACGUCCCCUUCGGGGGCAGAGUGACAGGUGGUGCAUGGUUGUCGUCAGCUCGUGUCGUGAGAUGUUGGGUUAAGUCCCGCAACGAGCGCAACCCUUGAUCUUAGUUGCCAGCAUUCAGUUGGGCACUCUAAGGUGACUGCCGGUGACAAACCGGAGGAAGGUGGGGAUGACGUCAAAUCAUCAUGCCCCUUAUGACCUGGGCUACACACGUGCUACAAUGGACAGAACAAAGGGCAGCGAAACCGCGAGGUUAAGCCAAUCCCACAAAUCUGUUCUCAGUU
rnacentral:rRNA from 1 species